CACUGACGUCGCGACGCAUAUCAAUAAGCGGAGGAAAAGAAACUAACAAGGAUUCCCUUAGUAACGGCGAGUGAAGCGGGAAGAGCUCAAAUUUGAAAUCUUCAAGGUUCUACCUUGACGAAUUGUAGUUUAAUAGAAGUGUUUUCUGUUAGUAGAGUUGGCUAAAAGUUCUUUGGAAUAGGACAUCAUAGAGGGUGAGAAUCCCGUAUUUGGUACCAUUCUUUCUAGCUUUGUGAUACACUUUCAACGAGUCGGAUUGUUUGGGAAUGCAGUCCAAAAUGGGUGGUAAAUUUCAUCUAAAGCUAAAUAUUGGCGAGAGACCGAUAGCGAACAAGUACCGUGAGGGAAAGAUGAAAAGAACUUUGAAAAGAGAGUUAAACAGUACGUGAAAUUGUCAAAAGGGAAGCGUUUGACACCAGUGUUGUUUUUCCGAAAAUCAAUUACGAAUGUUUUAUUUUUGAGGAGUUAUGACUUCAUCGGCUUGCUCCUUUCUUUAUGAAACUUUCUUAAUGCACUUUUCGGUUAACAAGUCAACAUCAAUUUCUUUUGUUGUAAAAGGGUAUGAGGAAGGUGGCUUUCUUUUCGGAGAAAGUGUUUAUAGCCUUGUGCCUCUGCAAUCGGAGAGAUAGAGGUCUGCAGCGUAGAUCCUUCGGGGUUAGAUACGUUUGUGCUAAGUUAUAGCUUUUCAUAGACAACUUGUUGACUAUGUUUAGUCUUGUAGCUUACUCGCUGACGCUAUUUUACCUACGCUUAGGAUGUUGACGCGCGUGUGUGCGUG
rnacentral:rRNA from 1 species